rnacentral:rRNA from 1 species
AUUGAACGCUGGCGGCAGGCCUAACACAUGCAAGUCGAACGAGUGGCGGACGGGUGAGUAAUGUCUGGGAAACUGCCUGAUGGAGGGGGAUAACUACUGGAAACGGUAGCUAAUACCGCAUACCAUCAGAUGUGCCCAGAUGGGAUUAGCUAGUUGGUGGUGUAACGGCGCACCAAGGCGACGAUCCCUAGCUGGUCUGAGAGGAGUCCCAGCCACACGGGAACUGAGACACGGGCCAGAAUCCUACGGGAGGCAGCAGUGGGGAAUAGUGCACAAUGGGCGCAAGCCUGAUGCAGCCAUGCCGCGUGUAUGAAGAAGGCCGUCGGGUUGUAAAGUACUUUCAGCGGGGAGGCGUUACCCGCAGAAGAAGCACCGGCUAACUCCGUGCCAGCAGCCGCGGUAAUUC